AGGGUGUAAAACGCUGCGGGCUUGGUGUUGGGGGUCCUUAGUGGGCGCCCAGUGCCGGAGAGAAGUUGUUAAGCCUGCUGCUUGGGGAGUAUGUCCGCAAGGAUGAAACUUAAAGGAAUUGGCGGGGGAGCACCGCAACGGGAGGAGCGUGCGGUUCAAUUGGAUUCAACGCCGAGAAACUCACCAGGAGCGACGGAUAUAUGAAGGUCAAGCUGAUGACUUUACCUGAUUUUUCCGAGAGGUGGUGCAUGGCGUAGACGUCU
rnacentral:rRNA from 1 species